ACAGGUCAUUGUUACUGCAUUUUACAGAGAACCUUUAGGUUUUGAGUUUAAAGUGAUUUUAUUAAAUCUAAUGAUGGAAGUUCAGACCAUGGGAAGGAGAGAAAUCUGGGGACCCCAGGACUACCUAGGCCCCAUCAAAUGACACAGACGAGUAGGCACAUGUCUUUGACAGUACAAUUUCCAGUGGAAGGGGAUCCUUCCUUCAGGUUCCCGACAAGCGAAACCUCUCUCCAAGAGCCAGCUGGGGACAUGGAGUGAUGCCGUCCCCGAGUCCGGGGAGUUGCAGACCGCCAACAGCUGGGCUUACAACGAUUUAGAAGAAUCAGCAGAAAUGGACAAGCAUGCAAACAACAAAACUACCCGAGUGGACCUGAGGCCAUCAGCACCCAGGGCUCCUCUCCGCAGCGAUGGACAUGUCCCAUCCUCGGAGGGUGAGCAGCCGGGGAACUGAAGUUUACAUUUUGUUUCCUGUGAAUGAACUGAAAUGAAAAUAGCCACCAUGGCGAGCGGCUCCUUUAUGGGAGGGCACAGGUCUGUGCAGUGAGGUCCCCGGCGGGGGGUGGGCACAGACGAUGUGGGCACAGAUGUCAAGUUGUUGUUAUGUGGGGAGCAGCACUUUAUAAAACACUUUCCCUUGCAGUGAGAGCCAGGUUCUCGGAGCUUCUUGGGCUGGGCUGGG